rnacentral:rRNA from 1 species
GACGAACGCUGGCGGCGUGCUUAACACAUGCAAGUCGAACGGAAAGACCCUGCUUUUGUGGGGUGCUCGAGUGGCGAACGGGUGAGUAACACGUGAGUAACCUGCCCUUGACUUUGGGAUAACUUCAGGAAACUGGGGCUAAUACCGGAUAGGAGCUCCUGCUGCAUGGUGGGGGUUGGAAAGUUUCGGCGGUUGGGGAUGGACUCGCGGCUUAUCAGCUUGUUGGUGGGGUAGUGGCUUACCAAGGCUUUGACGGGUAGCCGGCCUGAGAGGGUGACCGGCCACAUUGGGACUGAGAUACGGACCAGACUCCUACGGGAGGCAGCGGUGGGAAAUAUUGCACAAUGGGCGGAAGCCUGAUCCAGCAACGCCGCGUGCGGGAUGACGGCCUUCGGGUUGUAAACCGCUUUCGCCUGUGACGAAGCGUGAGUGACGGUAAUGGGUAAAGAAGCACCGGCUAACUACGUG